GUCUUCAUGGCUUAGUUGGUUAAAGCGUCGGUCUCAUAUCUCACAAUAUGACUGGGUCUCUUAGAUCUGGAUAUCCGAAGGUCGCGAGUUCGACUCUCGCUGAGGACA